rnacentral:lncRNA from 1 species
CCUUCAUCUCGGCACAAUAACUCUGCUGCCACUGCCGCUGGCCUUGAAUGAGGGCCAGGCACUUUGAAACAUGAGGCUGUCAGCAGAGGUGAGGAAGCUGCUUCCAGGGCCUGGAGGGAAGGUGGGUGGCUGUUUACUUGCUCCUCAUUCCUCUGUUAUUUGGUUUGAUUUUGCCAGUAAAGCCUGGGCAGGAGGAAGGAAAGGAGGGAGAGAGGGGCAGAGGAAGGAGUGGGGUGGAGGAGGGGGCUCAGGAGCCGGUGUGUCUGGAGGAGGAAGGGUGGGCCCAGAAGCCAGAGAGGGAAGGAGGACGUCGGUGGGAUUUUCACUGUCCCAACAGCUGACCUGAGGCUGGCUCAUGGCUUCCCAGAGUGCAGAUGGAGAGAGCAGGUCUCACGGAGGGUCUGUGCUCUCCCUUCCCACCCCCUGCCAGCAUGCCUGCCCCUGAGAGACCUCCCUGUCCUGUCCUCAGUCCCUCUGGGCAGGGCUGGGAGGGAAGAAAUGAUGAGGUAGGGGGCUAAAAACAGAACCGUCCAGACUGGAGGGUCUCGGCUUGUGUCCCACCUGUCUGAGAGCAACAAUGAACCGCAAUCCGGUGGCUCCAGGUUACAGCCAGAGAAAGCCCAACCUGGAAAUGCAGGCCUGGGUUGGCUGUGGGGGCUGAUCCCAGAGAGUGUCCAGCAGUGAGGCCAGGAGGACACAACCUGAAGAACACAGUCAGUGACCUGGAAAUUGAGAAGACAACAUAGGAGUGACGAGAAGCCAGGCGGCCUGAAGGUGUCCGAAGAGGCUGGUGAGCCCUGCUGGUCCCAGCACCGGGAUGGGUUAAGCAGCCUCACGCUAAUCCCAGCUGUCCCUUACCAGCUGCCAGGCCUGGAGUGCCUGCCUCUCCUCUAGGGCUCCCUUCCCUGUCCACAGAACUGACCACCACUCGUUGCAGGGGUGUCUUCGAGGUCAGCUGAGAGGGAUGGAAAGCAGCACUUGUGCCCUCGGUUGAGGGGACGCGUGGGCAGAAGAGGCCUCAGGAGGGACAAGACAACAGCUUCACCGGAGCCAAGCAGGGACCAGGAAGAAAGGGCACAGCGGGCCACAGCGGAGCUCAGACCAGACCUGGAGCAUGGAGGACCGGGACUCGAGGGCCCACCCCGGUGAGAAGAGGCACAUCUUGUCAGUGGAGUGGACGCACUGUGCUCUGCUGUCCAAGAGGGGACGUGGGGACCCCCUCCCUCCAGAAGCUGACGGAGGAGCUAGAGUAUCACCCUCUGCAGCCCCCAGGAAGGAGUGGACCCACCACUGACCAUCCUGCCAGUUAUCCAGCGGGCAAUGCACUACCUCAGCCCAGGUCCACCCUCCAGUACCUGCUCUGAGAUGGUGACACGGUGUCCAGCUUCGUCAGCAGAGGGUGCCAGGGACGUUGCAGGAAGAUUGGGGCUUUGGUUCUGCUCUGGACAUGCGGUCUGGGAGCAUCCAGCGAAGCUCUGCCCUGCCAUACAUCCAGAAGGCGCAGUUGCUCUGCGACCCCAGGCCCAGCCUGAACCAGGGCCCAGCGUGCCUCAGCCCUGCCUCGUGGACACUGCACUGUGGCCUCCCUCACAGUGCUUCCCCACCUGCUUCUGGCCUCUGCUUCCAGCACCAGCUGGCUCUCCUGCACCAGGACUUGGCUUCCCCCGGCCGCUCCUGUGCACACGCAGGAUUCCCCCCAUAUUGUCAGGCAAUUGUAAAAUUUUUAAAAAAUGUAAAACAUGCAUUACCAAAACCCCAAUAAUUCAAUUUCUAAAUAUCCAGUUUAGAGAAAUUAUCCAGUAGGUGAGCAAAAUGGUAAUUUUCUGCAGUGUUUUUUUGCAAGAGCAAAACCCCUAGAAGCAAACUACAUGUCCAGCAGGGAGAAAGUGGUUAACAAAAAGAAGCAAACAAAACUUGGUGUAUCUGCUGGGCAGCAGUUAAAGCCCAUGGGUCAGCGCAGCAAAGAACUCCAACACACAUUAUUCAGUGGAGCAAGCAGAGUCAUGUGUUUCAUUUGAUCCCAUUUCCAAAAAAAAAACCAAAAUGAAGUAAAGCUAGUAGAAUAACCCCACCCCCAAAAUGAUAUUUGUAACUGUUGAUAUAUGCACAUGAUUUUCUGUAUAUUUCUGCUUUGUUGAUUUUUCAUAAUAUGCUCCUUGUGCUUUUCAAUUUGCUUUUAUUUUACAUUACAAGUGUUUACUGAGUUUUGCAAAAAACAAAUUUCCAGUGACCUGAGUGAGACCAGUUUCUGAGGCAUGCAGUGGACUGGGAGCCUCCUCAGAAGUCAUGUCCAGUGCUGAGGCAGCCCCACUCAAGGCCCCUGGCCCCACUAGAGCAUAGAUAACCAGCCAAGUUUCAAGAAAGAAAACUCCAGUGCCUGUUUCCUGUGUCCAAGGGUUUCCUCAGAUGUAUCUCGUCAUUGGACUUUAGGGCCAGAGGGUCCUCAGAGACCAGCUGAGUCAGUUGCUGACUUUUAAGGCUAAACAAGCUGAGGUUCUGAGGAGCCAGGGGAGGGACUUAAGAUCCCCAGAAUGUUGGACAUUUUUAUUAAAAGGGUUUCUUGCUGAGUACCAAGAGGGCAGCAGGACAGUGUGCCCAGGACACCUCUGAGAGCCUGGGAGCCCAGAGGAAGCACCUAGGGAACCAUGUUCAGAACAGACCCCAGCUCGGCAUUCUCGUGACGCUGCUCAGGCCCUGCCGGGGCGCCUGGCAUCCAGCCUACAGUGCCCCCAGGCUCUGGAGAGCCAGCACGGGCUUGGGCUUGUCCUUGGAAGGACAGCGCAUGCUCCUCUGCACCAGGGGACUGUUCCAACCAGGGUCACUGUGCAGAAAGACCCAUAAGGUUAACCUCAUUCCUGCCCUGGCAGGCUGCUGUUGCAAGAGGAGGGGGCAGUGCUUACAGCGUGGGAGUCCAGGGACGUUGAUUCCGGCCUGACUAAUAAGGCCCAGCCUCUGAUGGGCAGAGUGGGGAGAUGCACUGGAUGAGGAGUUGGCCACCCAGGAGGGUUCAGAGUCGGUUCCCAGACAGACCCAGCUGUGUGCGGAAGCUGGUCCUUCAGGUCCUCCUGGUGGGAGUUAAUGGUCAGUUGGUUCCCAGCUCACUGUUCUGGGAAGCCUUUAGUUUGUUGGGAAGUACUGGGAGUUGAACCUGGGGCCCCCCCUACCACGGAGCUCCAUCCCAGGCUAUUUUAUUUUUUAAAUUUUGAGACAGGGUCUCACCAAGUUGCCAUAUGACCAUGGACUUGGGAUCCUCCUGCCUUGGCCUCCCAAGGAGCUGGAAUUCUAGGUGUGGGCCACCAUGCCAGCUUCAUAAAAUCUCUUUAGAAAAUUUCAGGAAGCUGGCUCGUUUGGGAUCUGAGGAACAAAGAGAGGAUAGGGCAUCAGGACGCCCGAUUCCAUUCUCUGGACUGUCGUUAGAUAACGGUACCCUUGGACAGAUGGACAUGUUGGGAUCCCUGGUUCUGCCUCUGCUGUGGUCUGAGGUGUGAAAAGAAGGUUGGAGGGCCUCUGCAUGUGGGCUGGCACUCGGACCAGCCCUGGUGGUUCUGCAGUGCAGAAAGGCUUCUGUGGGCAUUUCAGUCUGUUUUAUUUUUAACUAAUACCGUAAUUGUACAGAGUUUUUUUUACAUGUAGGGUAAAUUACAUAUUUUUACAGUGUGAUUAUAUAAAAAGGAACAGAAAAAAAGUGAUCAAAAGAAAGUUCCCUGUAUUCCUAUCAUUCAGAUUCAACAUUUGACACCUGGUUCUACUUCCUUGAUAGUUUGAUGUAAAUAUUUUCUUCAAUAAGUAAUAGAUUUGCUUGUUUUGGGCUCAUAUCCAAGAAAAUAAUUAAUAAACUGGGAGAAAGGGAAUAUGUUAAAAAGUCAAGUAAAAUUAAUCGAUACAGUAAUGGUGUGUUAUUGUCACUGAAUGGCAGGCCAGGGCCAGGUGAAGGGAUGCUGUUUAAGUUAUUAUUUCUAGGUGUGCAUACAGAAUUGAGGCAAACCACAGCCCUAUUUGAAGUGUCAUGCAAAGGUGAACAAGGAACACAGAGUUAACACAUAAAAAUGCAUAUUGUUUGAAAUUAUAGUCAAUGUUUCUAAAUCAUAUAUUCAACAAAACAAAAUAGAAAUCA